rnacentral:misc_RNA from 1 species
GAUGAAGAACGCAGCGAAAUGCGAUAAGUAGUGUGAAUUGCAGAAUUCCGUGAAUCAUCGAAUCUUUGAACGCACAUUGCGCCUUCUGGUAUUCCGGAAGGCAUGCCUGUUCGAGAGUCAUUAACAACCGUUUCGAUCCCUUUCUUUCAGAAAUUACAAAGAGGAAAAGGGUUUGGUUAUGGUGGAGGAGGGAAAGGGAGCGUUUAGCCUGUAAAAAAAGAGGCUGUGUUCCGCCUCCCCCCCAAAAUUGUACAGGCGGUCGUGUGCGCCCACGCAUCGAGGUGUUGUAAAAGCUGCCACGGCACUUUUCACCUGUGCAGUGCGAGAUUGGCCAGCCGGUUUAAAAACCCCUCCAAACAAUCAAAGGUUGACCUCGGAUCAGGUAGGGAUACCCGCUGAACUUAAGCAUAUCAAUAAGCGGAGGG